rnacentral:tRNA from 1 species
GCGCCCGUAGUGAAACGGAUUAUCACAACUGCCUUCGAAGCAGUUAUUGGGGGUUCGAAUCCCUCCGGGCGCACCA